UGGAACGGUCUAACGGUAGCAAGCAUCUCUGACGAAAGUGCGGAGACGCGUUAGUGUGCGUGUCGCGAUAAAAAUCCUCGACAGUAACAAAGACAACAGUGACGAAAAUUUUGAAAUUCGCAAAUCACUGGAAUCAUGGAAAAAUCAAGGCGUUGCCGAUGCUGGAUGAAGAGUCGAAGAGAGGGCGGUGAGAGGAACGUCGGAACAACUUUGGAAACAUUUGUGGUAAGGAAUGGCAGCAGUCAACCUUAUUGGCACCUUCAUUCAAGGAUGAAGACGAAAUGACGACGGGUGAAAGGACGAAUCGGCAGGGGGAAGAGUGCCUUUCUUAUCCGUUCACAAAAUGCCGCGGCCAAGCUACGAAGUCGAUAGCGUAUCGCUUUCCACGGACCCAAAGGUUACCGAAUCGUUCUGAGACUAUCUUAAUGGCAGGAUAGAUCGUUUGAUACUAUGGCCAAGUCGUAAAGGCUAUUGCUCUGCCCUCCAUCCCUUCUUCGAUACCCCUUUUCACUCCGCGCUCCCUUCUGCGUUCCGCAGCUGAGAAAGCUGGCUUAGCGCUACCCGAAUGCUUCUACCCUCGUGCCUCUAUACGCACCUCGUUCAUACCCCUCAGAAAUGUCGACAUAGAGUAUUGGUAUACUCAAUCUAAUCCUAUUCAGUAGGACAUAAUUAAUUAUCGUCGAUAUCCUGGAUUAUUCUCUAAAUCCGAUUAAGUAAUGCAUAUAUACUAGAGAUAUAUAUCUCAAGAAACUUAUUAUUUUUCGUUACUUCUGUGAUUACAUCUCUGUCUAUAUUUUUUUCCUGUCAUGAGUAAUAAGAUUUAUAAACGAAUAUCGUAAGCAUUAUUAUCGAUUUAAUUCAAUCAUUUCAAACAUAGUUUAUAUUGCAUCCUUACUUUAUAUUUUCACAAUAUUAUUUGUAAGAGUUGUAGUUUAAACAUGAUGAUGUGUAUGAAAACUUAAUAGAAUAUCGGAAACUCAAUAGAAUAUAAUAGAUUCGACAAGAA
rnacentral:misc_RNA from 1 species